rnacentral:rRNA from 1 species
AUUGAACGCUGGCGGCAGGCCUAACACAUGCAAGUCGAACGGAGUGGCGGACGGGCGAGUAAUUUCUGGGAACCUGCCUGAUAGAGGGGGCUAACGUCCGGAAACGGUGGCUACUAGCGCAUACUAUCAGAUCAGCUGAGGUUGGAUUAGCUAGUUGGUGGGGUAAAGGCCUAACAAGGCGACGAUCCGUACCUGGUCUGAGAGGAUGAUCAGUCACACUGGAACUGAGACACGGUCCAGACUCCUACGGGAGGCAGCAGUGGGGAAUAUUGGACAAUGGGCGAAAGCCUGAUCCAGCCAUGCCGCGUGUGUGAAGAAGGUCUUCGGAUUGUAAAGCACUUUAGUUUGAGAAGCGGUACCAACAGAAUAAGCACCGGCUAACUUCGUGCCAGCAGCCGCGGUAAUAC